ensembl:lncRNA
UCCACUGUCCCUAUAGUCCCUAUUGUCCCCACUGUCCCCAAUGUCCCUAAUGUCCCCAUUAUCCUCACAGUCCCCAUUGUCCCCAUUGUCCCCAAUUUCCCCAAUGUCCCCACAGUCCCCAAUGUCCCCAUUGUCUCCAUUGUCCCCAAUGUCCCCACUGUCUCCACUGUCCCCAUUGUCUCCACUGCCCCCACAGUCCCCACUGUCCUCACUGUCCCCAUUAUCCCCACUGUCCCCAUUGACCCCAAUGUCCCCACUGUCUCCACUGCCCCCACUGUCCCCAACGUCCCCAUUGUCUCCACUGUCCCCAUUGGCCCCAUUGUCCCCAUUGUCCCCACUGUCCCCACUGUCCCCAUUAUCCCCACGGUCCCCAUUGGCCCCAUUGUCUCCACCGUCCCCACAGUCCCCAUUGUCCCCACUGUCCCCAUUAUCCCCAACGUCCCCAAUGGCCCCAUUGUCUCCACUGCCCCCACUGCCCCCACUGUCCCAACGUCCCCAUUGUCUUCACUGUCCCCAAUGUCCCCAUUGUCUCCACUGUCCCC